rnacentral:sRNA from 1 species
AUAUUUAGAUAGCCAAAACCUGCCUCGGCAGGUGCGGGGGAUGAUUCAGCGAAUAACGGAACGUUAAACGAAACGUGACCGGUUUUCUUGGGGUGAAGCGCUCGCAUUGGGCGCCGGGGAUAAUCCUUUUUCCCGAAUCCGACAACUAACUCCGCAGGCGUAUAAAAGGAGGAAGA